GUUGCCGCCGCUGCUGCUGCCGCUACCGCUGUUCGAAUUCAUAUUCGAGUUGCUAGCACGUCAUUGGGCAGCGACCAUGCUGGGGCACCGUAUUCAAGGAUUUUAAUAGAAUACAUUGAUCUCAGUACUUAGGCUGUGUUUUAAAAUCUGUUAUUGAACAGCGGUCAUGGACAACAUAUGGAAGGGUUUAAUCGAAUUGUGGUUACAGUAGAAGACAUUUUCCCAAGGUGCCAUGCCGUGGGACUGAACCCGAAACCAAAUUGUAGCAAAGCGAACUUCUUAUCCACACGGUCACGCUAGCACCUAUUUAAGUUUCUCGCUAUGUGCCCCGUUGCAGUUACACAGAAGGUAACAACAGCAAAAACAACAACAACAACAACAGCAUCAGCAGUUUCCGUCUGCCAAAUCCACUCACAAAGCUAUGGUCGGUCCGAGGCUAAAGUAGAAGACAUUUGCCUAAGGUGCUAGGGAGUGAGACUGAACUUGAGACCAUGAGGUUGAGAAGCAAAUUUCUUGCCACACAACCACGGCUAUGUAUCUACAUGAAUCUUUCUAUUUGCGCACACACACACACACACACACACACACACACACACACACACACACACACGCACACGUAUACACAUAUACAUCAAUCCGUACAAACGAACAUUUUAAACUCCAGUAGAGGCUCAACUGUUUGACGAUCUUAUGUCUUUAAUCUGACAUAUUUCUCGCUAAAACAUUAGUCCUGCAAUUUAUUACAGACGUUCUACUUCCUAUUUCGUCGUCCGCCAUCAUAGCCAUGGUGUUCACGUAUUCCUGAAAAUGUCACUUUUAAUUUAGUUGAGAAACUAUUUAAGACACCCCGCUUCGCUUUCGAACAGCAGAAGGCUUCAAAUCAAGUGGGAAACAAGUAUUAAGUUUAUAAAAUGGCAGAGGUGAAGUUUACAUCUUGAAAUAAAUUAUUCUUGUUGUUGCUGUUGCUGUUGUAUCUACUGCUACCGAUACUGCUGUUUAACCUCAGAAUAUGAACUACAAUACUGGAUUAACUAA